CGCACAUUGCGCCCUUUGGCAUUCCGAGGGGCAUGCCCGUUCGAGCGUCAUUAAAUCCAAUCAAGCUCCGCUUGGUAUUGGGCGUCGGGGAACCCCCGCGCCUCAAUUUCGCCGGCUGGCCGUCGUCUGUCUUAGCGUUGUGACUUAUGUUUCGCUAGCGAUGGGAGGUGGAUCACGCCGUUAAACCCCACGAAUUUCAAUCGGAAUUUGAUUAAGGUUGACCUCGGAUCGGGUAGGAAUACCCGCUGAACUUAA
rnacentral:misc_RNA from 1 species